GCUGCUGACAUCAUCGGAGCCAGGCCGAAUAAAUUACUAAAACAACAAUCCAGUGAUAAUGAACCACAAUCCAGAACUGUAAACGGCCAAGCAGACAUAACAUACGACGAGUAUUCCCAAGAAACCGACAACGGUGGUGACAAGCAUGACAGCGGCCUUAAGAAACCUACUGACUCCGACUCUGCACGCCCAAAGGUUGGGGGACCUAGUGAUCCCGCAGGAGGCUUUGAGCAUGUUCCAUCGGAUAGCACAGAAAAAUGAGAGUUAAGAACCAAACAUAACGCCUGAAGCCAGCGAAUUUCGGAUAAUCAAUCUUCUUCAGAAUUGUCCGUUUGGCCUUCAGUUAAAAAUAAAAGACUUGGUUCCGUAUGAAA